rnacentral:lncRNA from 1 species
GUUCAGUGAAGUUUUGAACACAAAAUCCUGAAGACAAGAGGUUUCAAAUGUUGUAGUGAGUUGUGAAGGAUGAGUUAGAAGGAAAUGCCUACCUAGCCACACUGGAAAGGAAGUUUGGUUUCCAAAUCAUCUCAAUCCAUUGGCUCAAGCAGAGGAAUAUUUAGAAGAAGGAGCACAAGAAAGAGGACACCCUUAAAAGAAAAGUUAUUAAUUUCCAAUUAAGACUCAUCAAGGGAUAAAAUCUGAAAACUUAUAAAGGAUACUUAUUACAGAAAAAAUUUAAGG